CGAGCGGGCGUAGCAAUACGUCAGCGGCAGACGGGUGAGUAACGCGUGGGAACGUACCUUUUGGUUCGGAACAACACAGGGAAACUUGUGCUAAUACCGGAUAAGCCCUUACGGGGAAAGAUUUAUCGCCGAAAGAUCGGCCCGCGUCUGAUUAGCUAGUUGGUAGGGUAAUGGCCUACCAAGGCGACGAUCAGUAGCUGGUCUGAGAGGAUGAUCAGCCACAUUGGGACUGAGACACGGCCCAAACUCCUACGGGAGGCAGCAGUGGGGAAUAUUGGACAAUGGGGGCAACCCUGAUCCAGCCAUGCCGCGUGAGUGAUGAAGGCCCUAGGGUUGUAAAGCUCUUUUGUGCGGGAAGAUAAUGACGGUACCGCAAGAAUAAGCCCCGGCUAACUUCGUGCCAGCAGCCGCGGUAAUACGAAGGGGGCUAGCGUUGCUCGGAAUCACUGGGCGUAAAGGGUGCGUAGGCGGGUUUUUAAGUCAGGGGUGAA
rnacentral:rRNA from 1 species